rnacentral:lncRNA from 1 species
UAUCACUACAUUUUGGGAUGAAUAUUAAUAUCGAAAUAUUAGUAUUCAUUAAACAUCGAAAAAAAAUUAUUUUUCAUAUUGAUAUUUUUCUUAAUAAAAUCUUGAAAUCGAUUCACAUUAAGUCCAUAAUAAUAUUUUGCACAUAUUAUGAGAAUAAUAAAUUUAUUUGAGAUUGAGAUACAAAAUAUUAAUGACUAAAAGUAUGAUCGUAGAGUGGUGCUAUAAUCCGCAACUAGAAAGAGGUAUGACACAAGCAAGGGCAUGGGCGUUUUUUUUUUUUUUUUAAAUCAAUAUCACGUGCUUGAAUAUCGCUGAUGGUAUCUCUCAUUUCAUCGUUCCGAAGACCUUGGUUUAAGUAUAUUGCGAAAUUUGUAGAUAUAACGGAUAGACGUUUGACGCUAAGAAAGAUAAAAUCGCAUGAUAUUCGACUUGAUAACUGGAACAUAAUCCAAUUCUUCCGAAAAACUCAUAUUCAAGUUUACGACUUAGUUGAAGUUGAAGAGUACGAAGAAAUAAUGGGAUCGGUGGAAAAUGCUAAGAUUUUAUCCGGUCGAGAAGUUUCAAAGUAUUGUAUAUUUUUUCUUUAAAUAUAGUGAUAUAACUCUGUUUUAAAUUAUUUUCUCAAAUUAU